GGCAGAGAGGAGCCCAGCACAAGGCCGGGGUGCAUCUGGAGCUAUCUCUGCACCUCUGACCAGCUGCCGGCACCCCCGGGAUCUGAACCUCCUGAGCACUCCUGAGACGGAAUGCUGAAAGGGGGCUAAGAAGGAAACUGGGGAGAGGAGUUAUUCAAUGUCAUGUUGAUGAGUAACACAGAAAUAACCAUGCUGAAAGGAAAGAAUCUCUAGAGAAGCUGCCAGGCUUACCCUCUUUCCUUCAGGUUGUAAGGUCAGAUCUGUGGACUGAAGGAACUACCAAAAAUACAUCUUUUGGAAACAUCACAAAAGGCCAUAUGGGGAGCAGACUGUCCUAAGAGAAAAAUUAUUGGAUGGAGAGCAGAGAACACCUCACGUCUCUAUCUUGUUUUCUCACUGAAUCACCCAAAGUCCUCGCCAGCAAGUACCUAGAACAGAAUCCCCAACCCCAACCAAAGACACCUUGGAAGCAGAUGCAGGAGAGGAAAUAGCCAGAAGGACUUCCCCCAUUCUCCACAAGGAAUGGCUGGCUCUGAGUGAGUGUUCAGCUAACAACCCAGGUAAUGCUGAAAGCUGCUUCCUUCGAGUAGUCUGGAGCUUUAGUACUUUCCAGGUAGAAGGGGCCGACCUGACCAGCCUCAAUACGAUCCCUCGGCACUGAGUCUACUGAGCUCCCGUCGGUGGAGAGCAGUUCACAUAUGCUGCCACAAUUCGAUGCUGGAGUAUGUUUAUACCAGUGGUCCCAGCUGGGAAUGAAGUUGCCCUCUACAGGACACCAAGUGAUGUCUGAAGACAAUUUGGUUGUCACACUAAGAGGGGGACAUGCUGCUGGCAUCUAGCAAGGUGAACAGAGACAUGAAACCUGAUAAAAAGAGACCAAGAAAUACUGCUGCCCCAGCAGGGGAGAAAACAGCUGCUGGGCAUGUGUCAGGUCACUUGACCUCUCAGAAAUAAAGGAAUAAGC